GCUGCGAGGCCAAGGCGAUUGGAGUGCUCUUAAAACUGGAAGUGGCCCGGGUGCCCGCUCACUCUUUGCUUGAAUGGCUAGGGUAUUCUUCAAAUUGAGGGGAAAAAAAGAAAAAAAGAACUCUGCGUAGCCACUCGAACGAUAACAUUUUCCAGCGUGAGGCAGGUGAUGGGUGUAUGUGUGAUUGCAGCUUCGCCAUUAAACCGAUCAGUCGCCAGGUUAGUCCUGGCCAUGCAAAUAAAGCGGCGCAUUGUCCACGUGCUUAAGGGCUUAACUAUUCCAGCUGGGCAAGUUCUCCAGGAUCAACUGACUUCUCGUUAUAAUUCGUGCUCGCACUGUAGCGGUUCUGUUGAAUUGGGAUGCACAGAUAAGAUCAAAUAAUUAAUGCUGUAACUUUCAGCAAGUUGUCUUGCCUUUAUACAAACUCACCUCCCCCUAAAUACUGUAACAUGCCAGCACUUUUUUUUUGUAGUACCAGUAUAUGUGCACUUACGUAUAUGAACAAUCAUGUAUAUAAUUUUUAGCCAUUUAAUUUGAGUUUAAAGUUAGAAAAUUAUAAACUGUACUACGAGUUUGUCAGGACAGUGCCAGAUGUUCAUAGAUGUUUUAUAUCAGUUCAUUUUCAAGGGUAACUUUUUGCAUAAGUAUAGAAUGUUCACAGUUUUUCAACACAUGAGUUUGAUUUGAAUGCAUCACUAUAUAGAAUGUCUACGUUAAAUAAUUAUUUCUUCUGUGAAAAUAAGGGUGUUGAUUACAUAAAGCAAUCCAAGUUAGUGUGUUUUUAAAAGUUCAUAGAAUUGCAGUUAAUCCCGUUGGGUAUUAAAUAGUUUACAGAGCCUUGUAGUUCUUACUUAUCCAAGUGCCCAUUACAUAAUAUGGCCAGAAAAUGAACACGCUACGGUGUGCAUCAGGCAAAGGUACCAACAGCCAUAGUGACCCUUACUCAAAGGGUCAUUCUUUGUAUUUCUUAGUAAAGUUCCUAACUAAGGGCAAAUGUGUGGCAUGAUUUUUUUUUUUUCAACACCAAACUAUGAAAACAAACAGUGAGUAGGCUGUCAGAUUUUUCUGAAGUGUCUGUUUCUUUUUCUUUUUAGAUAGAGUCUCACUAUGUAUCCCUGGCUAGCCUGGAUCUAUGUAGACCAGGGUAGCCCUGAACUCAAGAGACCUGACUUGCCUCUGCCUCCUGAGUGCUGGGAUCAGAAGUGUAUACUGCUAACACUUGGCUAGGAGGUCAGGGUUUCACUGAGCAUUUGAAUAUUUAGAAUGUUAGAUUUUCUGUAUUGUGUGUAGUUGUAAAAGUUUUACGUGCCCAGCCAGGCGGUGAUGGUGCACACCCUUAAUCCCACCACUGGGGAAGCAGACACAGGCGGAUUUCUGAGUUCAGGCCAGCCUGGUCUAUAGAGUGAGUACCAUGACAAAAAGUUUUAUAUGCCUAACUUUUUAAUUCGGAUUUAAGUAUCUUAAAGCACAUAUUCAGUAUUAUGUCCAAUAUAAGAUUAGAAUAUAUUUAUAAAGACACAAUGUAAUGAUUUAUGUAGCCAUAACAGUUCAAGAAACUGAUUUGUGAGGGCGGCGGUAGAUAGUCUUGGAUCAUAAGAUAGAAAUGGCUGGGACAAUUAGACUGAGGGAAGUGGUUGGAAGCUUGAGGGUAAUUAGCAUAUGGGAACUUAUCAGAAAAUUCCAUUGGGAAGAAAUAAAAGUUGGGAAAGCUUUGUUAGUUGGUGUUUACCAAAGGGUUUCUUUACUUGAGGAUGUUGUCUUGGGGGAGGGAGGUAAGUUGUCUUUUGAGGGAAUACUUCUUUGUGUGAAUUAUUCUUACUACCACAUAGGUGCCUCUUCAAGCGCUUUGCAAUCUUUGAGGUUUGGGGGCCAGCCAUUGGCAGAUGAAAGAAUGAAAGCGGGGAGACAUGUUAGUGAUAAGGAAUCCCCCAAACAGACAGCUACACGGGCAAGGCUUUCCUGUGGGCAAAAUUGGAAAUAUGAGCAAAAUCUACCCCAGUAAUAGUGACAAUGGAUUUGUAAAUCUCUCUUGUCAUUUAUAUCAAAAAAUAUGGAGACUGUUCCCUUAAAGUAUACACAAUUGAAUAGAUUCAUGAUACAAUACAAUGCAUGAGAAAUUACUAAAGUAUUCAAGUCAGCCAUUUGUAUACAUUUAUCACACUUGUGAAGUUGUGGUGACUGUAGCACAGUCACAGCUUCUGUCUUUUAAGUCAUCCCAGACAUGACAGGAAGCUAGGCCUGUCUCAUUCUAGGCCUUUAAUGCCAGCACUCGGGAGGCAGAGGCAGGCAGAUCUCUGUGAGUUUGAGGCCAGCCUGGUUUACAGAGAAUUCCAGGACAGGCUCCAAAGCAAUGUAGAGAAACCCUGUCUUGAAAAGCAAACAACAAAUAACAAACAAACAAACUUAGCAUCUAGGCUGGAGAUGCAGCUCAAUGUAAAAAUUUGCCUCGUAUGCUUGCAACCCUGGGUCCUAUCCCUACCAUUGCCAAAACUCAAUGGAAAACUGGUCUCUGAUAUGGGUGCCCUUUAGCCCACAGACAAGCUAGUUUUGCUAUGAGUUGUUGCUUAUCUCCAGGGCCUAGAACUGAACCCGGCCAGGAAAUGCAUUUGUAGAAUAAACAUUGCAACAAAUGUAUCUGUUUCCUUUCCUUUAGGUCCUUCCUGCCCUUGUGAAUGGGCUACUCCAGCCUUACCUCUCUGUAAUUGAAUCCCACUACUCUUUGUCAAGUGUUUACACGGUACCAUUUGGUGUUUGGUUCUAAUGGCCUUAUGUUGUUAUAUUAGUGUUUCAUGUAGUUUUCUUCUUUACUUUAAGUACAUUUUUUUUAAAGGCUGUACCUAUUUAUACAGCACUAUUUAUUUAUUUAUUUAUUUACUUAUACAGCACUAUUUUAAGAAUUGCCUUAGCAUCUGGUAUGUCUAUACAGAGUUGGCUUGUAUGCACCUAUAGAGUAAAUACUAGUUAUCAUGGGAAAACAUUAAAUAAAUCUUGAACCAUAGAUAAUAUAUUAUUUGGGCAAACUUUGUGUACACUUAGGAAACAUUGUAGAAACUUAGUGCCGAAAAAUAAUAAAAGUAAUAUUUAUGCAGUGCUUAAAAUGUGUCUGCCACUGUCCCUAUCCCCUUUACAUGUUCAUUUAUUUGUGUCUCAAUAAUCUUUUGCUGAAGGUAGUUAUUGCCCUAUUUUUCAAAGGAGGAAAUGGAUGCACAGCAAAGCUUACCCAAGAUUUUGAUGUGCAUAAUAAAUAGAAUAGGUAGUCUGGCUCCCAGGUCAGCCAAGCUUCUCUGCCGAGUUUGCUUAUUUGUGUGGCAAAAGGGCAGGGGUCAGUUUGCCAGUGCACAGAGGCCAAAGAAAGAUGUCAGGUGGCCUUCUCUAUCACUGUCUGCCUUGUUCCCUGGAGACAGGUUCUCUCAUUGAACCUGGAACUGGGUUAUUGACUAACAAGCCCCAGUGAUCCCACAUGUCAGGGAUUUUUAUGUGGUGCUGAGGGAUGAGAACUCAUGGUUGCAUAACACUGAACCCAUCUCAGCCGGGUGUUGGUAGCGCACACCUUUAAUCCCAGCACUCGGGAGGCAGAGGCAAGCAGAUCUCUGUGAGUUCGAGGCCAGCCUGGUCUCUAGAGCAAGUGCCAGGAUAGACUCCAAAGCUACACAGAGAAACCCUGUCUUGAAAAACCAAAGGGAAAAUAAAACAAACAAACAAACAAACAAACAAACAAAAAAACCCCACUGAACUCAUCUGUUCAGCCUAGGAGUUUUAUCUUAUAAUUUAAACAAUCUAAAAAGUCGCGUUAUUUUUGCAGUUAUAAAAGAUGCUCGUGACUAGGGCUAGGGGUGGUGGGAGAAGUGGCUCAGUGAUUAAAAGCAUUUACGCUCUGGCUUGAAUUUGCUUCUCAGCACCUACUUGGUAGCCUAUACCCAUCCAUCGUAACUCCAGCUCCAGGAGAGCAAUGUUUUUUUUCUGCCCUCCAUGGCAACAGGCAUACAUGUGGCACACAUACACACAUGCAUGUAAGCAACCAUGCACAUUAAAUAAUAAAUGAAAUAGACACUCUUUUAAAUUUAUUUAUUAUUUAUUUAUCUAUUGUGGUGCUAGGGAUCAGAGCCUCAUGCAUGCCAAAGGACUGAUCUGUCACAUCCCCAUUCCAACCCUAAAGACGUUCUUUUAAAAAUUUCAAAGAUGGCUCAACAGGUAAAAUGGUGCUUGUGAACAAGACUGUUGACCUGAGUUCAAUUCCCGGGACUCGUUGUGGAAGGAGAAUACCAACUCCCAAAAGUAAUCUUCUGACCUAUAUACAAACACAAAAUUUCAUCAAUAUUAUUAUUAUAAUCCUUAAAAAGUUCAGGGUAGCAAAAAAAAAAAAAAAAGGAAUGACUACACUGCAGAAGUAUUUCUGAGUUUUCUGGGUGGAAGAGGGUGAUAAAAAGGUGCUCAUUGCAUUGCAGGGCUAGCUAAAGAUGAGGGUGGAGAAACUCAGUUUUGCCUCACAGCUGAGUAAAGAUGUUGAUCUUGGUGGCUGUUGGGUUCUAGGAUAAUGAUUUACCAGGACAAUGGCUUGUACAUCCUACUUUAGUGUUAGAAUACUGCUAAAUAAAACAACACCGAGUGACACAUCACAGUUUACUGGCUUCUCUUCUUAAGCACUUACUUUGUGGAAAUCAUUGUGGCAAUCUCCAGUGGUGUGGGUGUUACUGAAGUUGUCCUCAGGUUAGCUGCCCUCGGAUGGAAUUCUGACCCCACCUUUUCCGCUUGUAUUGAGCAAUAGAGAACACUCAAUUAGAAAAGGUCAGGAGUCCUCUUCUGACCAGGUUCUUUCCCUCUUUCUCUUUUUAAACAGUAGAACAAAAUGUAAAAUUUAGGUUGAUUUGGUCCGAACUUGGAAUAAAAUCAGAAAUGUGGCAUUAAGUGAGAGCCUAACAAACAAAAUCCAGCACAGUAAAGGAAAACCAUAUUCUCCCAAAACCUAUAUACGUACUCUUGUCCACACUUGAUCAACAGCUUUUGAAUGUUAGUCAGUGUGCAGAUAGAGAUUGCACAUCGCCUGACUGCUCUCCAAGAACCAAGAAGACAUCCCUUUAAAAUGAAGCAUGGGCCACAGGCCCGGCUAGCAGCCAGACUGGACAUACCCUAUGAAGGGAUCUUACCUUGAAAGCAGCAUGAUUGGCUUCCGUAUCAUCUUUGAAUAUCAGUGACAUUACUAGUUUUGUUCGGCAUGUCCUCAUAGAGACCAACAGACCAGGGUUAUUCUUUCAGGAAGUCUCUCAACGCCAGAAGUAGUGUAUUGGAUGUCUGCACAUGGACUGGAUUGCUCAUUGACUCAUAGAAAUAUUUGAAGGAUGGUAAACAGCUGAAGAAAGGAGGGUUUGAGGAAGCAACCCCAGCCCCCUUAUGGCUUUGCACAACUUGAAAGAAGACAAUUGUAGGAAUGAGUGAGAAGAAUUAUGGUCGUUUCUACAGUUAUUUCUAGACAUUCAUUAUCUUUGUGAACCCAUCCACUUGGUGCAUGGUAUUUGAGUUGCUUUCCAUGACUGUAGUAGUUGAUAAUCUACUUCUGAUCAGUUUUAUCUGUGGGUACAGAAGUCACAUGAAUAGGAGGAGAAACAGGAACCAUUCAUUGGGAUGUUGAUGCCCCCAUAUCCGCAGAAAUUGACUUUCAUUGAAUAAUCACUAAAGAGUGUGAAUUGUUUCUUUAUAAUGAUGCACAAAAGUGGGGUGCAAAUAAUGCAUACCUCAAAUGAGUCAGACCAAGUUUGACGAACAGAUGUUUUAAUAGGAAAGUACUCAUGUAACCAGUCAGUCCUCUAAACCAGGCGAACCAUGGAACAGAGAGAGCCACCUGCGUGAGACCUUCAUAUGUAAGGCAAGACCUUACAUAUGAAGGUCUCUGACCAUAUCCUAGUGUGCAUGGUCUUCGUCACCUGUGACAGCCCCCAAGAGGGUGUGGCUAACAUUUCCCCUACAAUGCACUCUUUCCUUGGAUGUUCUGUUUUUGUCUACUCAAGACAUUCUUUUGAAUAGGAUUUUAGCACUGAAGAUUUGAUAAUCAUACUUGGGGUGUUAAAAUAAAAAUUGAGCCAUU